GGCCUCGUGGCGAAACGGCAGACGCAGCGGACUUAAAAUCCGCAGUUCCGCAAGGGACGUGUGGGUUCAAGUCCCACCGGGGCCA
rnacentral:tRNA from 1 species